UGUGGAGUGAGGCGGUACUGGUCAAGUCCAUCGUUCCAUUUAAUUCGCUCCAGCACCUCCAGGUCACCGCCUACCAGCCAAUCACCUCCUUCCAUAACCAUCUACACAAGAUGAGAAGCAGAUAUCAUGAACAGCAAUUAGGGGUGUUCAACAGUCUGACUGCCUGUGGGAAGAAGCUGCUGCAGAGUCUUGAUGUGUGGGUUCUGAUGCUGCGCAGUCUCUUUCCUGAUGAAGGGGCAACGAACAGUCCAUGUGAGGGGUGGUAGGGGUCCUUCAUGAUGGAGGUGGCCCUGCGUAUGCAGCGUUCCUUGUAGAUGUUCUGCAGAGCUGGGAGGGAGGCACCGACGAUCCUCUCCGCUGUCUUGACCACACGUUGCAGAGAUAGCUGCUGAGGGGGUCAUGGGAGUUCAGCCUGCCAGUCUACAUGUGCUUUGUGGAUCUGGAGAAGACCUACGACCGUGUCCCCCGAGGGGCUCUGUUGGGGGUACUGCGGGAGUAUGGGGCACCAGGCCUGCUGAUAGGAGCCAUUCAGUCCCUGUACAACCAAAGUAAGAGCUGUGAACACAUACUCAACACAAAGUCAUACUCGUUUCCUGUGGGUGUUGGACUCCGCCAGGGCUGUCCCUUGUCUCCGAUCCUGUUUGUGGUGUUAAUGGACAGGACCUCAAGGUGCAGCUGGGAUGAGGAGGGUGUCCGGUUUGGGGAUCUCAGGAUCGCAUCUUUGCUUUUGCAGAUAAUGUGGUUCUGUUGGGUUCCUCACAUCAUGACCUUCAGCGCGCACUGGAGCUGUUUGCAGCCGAGUGUGAAGCGGUGGGGAUGUGGAUCAGCACCUCCAAACACAUUUGCCUGGGAGUGAUUAUAUAUCUUGUCUGGCCUGGGAACGCCUCAGUAUUCCCUAGAAAGGGCUGGAAAGCGUUGCUGGGGGGGAUGGACGUCUGAAAUGACCUGCUUCGUCUGCUGCCUCCGCGACUCGAUCCCAGACAAACGGAAGAAAAUGGAUGGAUGAUACUGAAACAAUAAGCGUAUUUCUUUCAAAUAUUUACCUCCAACUAAGUGUUGUAAAUAUCAAUGCUGAAACUAUUUAAUAAAAUGAUUAAUUACCAGAAAGUUCAUUACCAGCAAUCUUGAUAAUCAGUGCUUCAUUUAGGACAUCUUUUGGGCACACAAUCUCUUGCUCCUGCUUCUCAGUUGUGAAAUUUGGAUUUUUUUAAAAAAUGAACUGCAACUGUAUCAAACUUUAAGAAACUGAAACCGUAUCAAAAUCUUUCCACUUUGUACGGUUAGUUAGGUAUCUAACUAACUGACUAACUGGGACUGUGAAAACAAGUUUAGGAACUUUUAAUUAUAAUGAACUAUAAUCUUUUUCUACACCCUACUUAAUUUUACACUAUAGAUAGACUGUAAUUAGAAAAGUAGCUGCACUAGUACACAGCUUGUACCAGGUAAUGUCUGACCUGUUUGAUAGUAGAACUGGUUUUCGGUGUACUUACAGUAUGCAGAAGGAUCCAUUUUUCGCCUCCCUACUUGUAAUUACAAAUACUGAUGCCUCACACCUAAUUUGUUAAAGAAUACUGAGAGUUUCAUAAACCAAGGCAAGAGCAGCAGGGAAACAACACAGAUCAGAGGAAAAGCGGAUUAAAUAUUAAUAAAUGUUUCAUCAGUUCCACACAAGGUUUUAAGUUUGAGGCGUGAAGGCCAGGGUAGAAAUUUGAUCUAUGUACCGGAAACCUGGAAAAGUGUGGGAGUACAACUUGGCAUAUAUACACAGAAGAUUAAUUCAUUUUACUUGAAUUUAUUUAUUUAUUUUUACAAAUAUGUUUGGUUGUGUCACCAUAAUGCUCUGUUGCUAAUGAGAGCCAGGUGGAGGCAGAUGUACAGGAUGUACUGAGUAAGAAACAAUAAAAAAAAAAAAACACUUGAUUUUACUUUCAUGGUGCAUUGUUUAGUCUAUGAAAUGUGAGAUAAUAAAAUGUUCUGUUCCAUGUUCCCAAAGUUAAGCGUGAUGUCUUGUCCAACUAACAAAGAUAUUCAAGAACAAAUCAUUGAAUUGGAGAAGCAUGAAACCUAGAAUGUUUUGCCGUUUUUGCUCAGUGUCUGUUACAAAACCGUUAGUGAUUGUGUUUCUGCUGAUCAACAUACUAUGGACUAAUCAUUGUACCUCUGCUUGAUCUAUUAUUCAGUGUCUUAUUAACAAAUCCCAUGACAAGACCAAACAACAAUGGAUUUAUCCUACUAAUUCGAGUUGUCUGUGGAUCCAGAGCCUGAUAUACCUUCAUAAAUAGACCAUAAAUAGACCUGCAGACAAUCUGUCCAUAAAUAAAUGUCAUAAAAAUACAUCAGUCAGCUACUGUGGGACCCACGUACGCUGUCCUACAGCAGCUGCUGUUAAUAAUCACUAUCUGAAAACUCUUAAUUCACAGUUGCAAUAAUCCCCAACAAAUACCCAGCAAGUUGUAUGUCUUUACUUGGGAUGAAUGUUCUUUGGGGUGGAGUGCCAAAGACAGGGGAUGGAAUGUUGGAAAGUAUCAAGAUGGAGUUCUGCAUUGUUGGUUUUGUGAAAAAUAGAAUAACACCAAUGAAGUUAUACUCACUGGUUCUCGCUGACUGUGUUGUCCAAACGGCUGAAGAGAUCAUGGAAGAGAAUGCAGCUGGACUUGCUGUUAAUAUCAUAACCGUAGCCUCUUUUCCAGUACUGCUUUAGAUCAUUUGCAUAUUCCAUGACCUGUUGAACCAGAGAGCACAAAUCACUACUGGAAUGUGUUUUAUGACUAUGAAAGGUAACAAUCUGCCAGUCUUUCAUUGGAUGAGGAAACAUUUGAGACUACCUGUGCCACGUCAGCCCAGGACACAAGACAUGUAAGACUCUUUGUGACAAGGAUAAUGCUAACAGUUUCUCAAAGCAGAGAGAAAAAAAAACUACAGGAUCUUUCUCUAACUUGACCUACAAAAGUUUCUUCUGUUUAUUUACUGUAUUUCUUCAUCUUUAUUUGAUCAAAAUUACAUACUAAGACAUAAUGUAACCUCUGUCCUGGUUAGGUUUUUAAAAAGCAAACCAAUAGAUGAAACAUUACCAGACUCAA